CCUUCUCUUUCCCAUUAAUUUUCUCCUUUAAUCAGACCAUUAACAUCGUCAUCCCACUUGCUGCAUUAUUAAUUCGAGCUCAGAGUCUUCGUUACCUAACCGAUUUGGUUUCGUCGAUCGACUGCGACUCGACUUGGGUUUGUGCUUUCAGUCCGUAAAAAAACAAGAGCUGAUCGGCAUCAUUUAUUCAGUAUUGGGGAGGUGAAAUCCAAUCCCUUCGCUUCGCGCCAGGCUUAGCAACGCAAGAGGAGAAACAGGCCCGGUUCACCAUAAUGUAGACCUGAGAACGUAGGCAAUUGUAGAAAAUUGAUUCUUUCUCUUUGAGUAAAGUCAUGGCUUCUCAAGCAUGCCUCCUUUAUUCCUCCCAGCAUGCCUCACAUCUCUCUUGCAAUAUGUUUAACACAGUCAGAACUCAAAGCUACAUGAAGGGAUGAGUGAAAGAAAAGGCAGUGCCUCUCAAUGAUAUACGAAGGUAAAAACGGUCAGUUGACUAAAUAAGGAGAAUAUAUCCUCGAUUAAAUCGAAGCUCAUAUCAGAUGUGGUGUUUUACUGUUCAUCACCAUAAUUGAGGGAUACAGCUUCUGCAUCGAAUGGAGCCUUUUAUUAAUCAUGUCUGAUGAUACAAAACUCUUUGUAGCAUGGUUUUCUGCCUCUAUGUAUCCGGUCCUCUCUUAUCUAAGAGAUAGCUCACGAAAUAUGUCUUUAAUUGAAAUCUCAUUGCAGAUGUUGGCUGAAGAACACUGGUGUAGUGAAUGUGCAAACUAUACGAUGGCGUCACUUAAUGAAAGGAUGUAGGAAUACCAAAGACAAGUUGACGGAGAAAUAUAAACUCAACUGAUUCUCUAGCAGGGGAUGGCAUGAGAAUACCUUUUGCACAUAAGCGUACUCAUAUCUUUAUACUGUUUCUGUCUUGCUCAUAUUUUAUACUAUUUUGUCUUAUAAAAUACAUUAUCUUAAAGAAAAAUAAACGAAACAUUGUUGUUUGUGGUUUGGACCACUGAAACAAUUUAUCAUAUAUCAUUACUUAA